AUGAGUAAAAGUUUCUUCAGAAACUGCGCUUCUUGCUUCCUGACCCUGGUAGUUCUAGGGAUGCUACAAGUCACCCUACACGAGCCCUUUCCUCGAACAGCCCCUGCGUUACGGGUUACAAGUGAAGGGGAAAACACCCCCCAGGACCAGCCCUGCUUUCCGUCCCGCAGCAGCGCCCGCGGCCACGUUUUCGAGGGGACCACGCGCAGGGCCCGGGGGCUCGGCAGCUGGCGGCUCGGAUCUUGGAGGCCUCUCUCAGCACCACAGCAGGGCCUUGAGCUCCCGGUAAGGUUUGGAGCUCCCGGUAAGGUUUGGAGCUCCCGGUGAGGUUUUGAGCUCCCGGUGAGGCCUUGAGCUCCCGGCGGAGACGAGCCCCGUGCCGUGCUCGGCGGUGCCGCUGCGCCUUUGGAAGAUGGCUGCUGGGAGGGCAGCCACGAGGCGACAUUUCGCGCCUCCCGCUCGUUUCGCACACCCACCACCGGCCCGGUGUUCCCGGUGCCGUUUCCAAACAACCUAACGGCCCCUCCGGUACCGGGGCUACCGGGGGACCCUUCCCACCCACCACGGGGGGUUCCCACCGGACCCUUUUGGACCCCUCGCAGCGGGACGGGACGGGACCAAAGGGACCGCUCCGUGCCCGACCCCCGGGGGUGGGGGGGGGGGGGGUCCCGGCUCGGGUCCCGGUUGCGCUGCGGGGCCCUCCCGCGCUCCCGGUUGGGCGUGGCCCCGCCCCCGGCGCUCAGUUCCCGCCAGCGGCGGCCAAUGGGCGGGCGCCCGCCGCGCACGGGGCUUUUCCGCGCCAAACUCCAAAGGGCCGGGGAGAGGCGCGGGGCGGCGGCGGUGGGGGCGCAGCGCGGCACCGGCCUCCAGCACCGCACCGCCGGUGAGUCUCCGCCGCCGGCCCCCGAGCCCGGGACGCGGUAAGGGGACGGCGGAGGAGCCUCCCUCACCCUCCUUCCCCUUCGCUUCUCCCCCCCCUUCCCCUCCUCCCUUCCCGGCCCGGUGACAGCUGCCGGCACCGGGGGCCGGCGGAGCUCGUCCCCGUUGGGCGCACCGGGAGCGGAGCCGCUGCCGGGGCGGGCCGCGGGGAUCCGGGAGCGGCCCCGAGCCCUCGGAGCGCGGCCGGGCCGGGGGGUUCCAAGCGGAGCGGGGGGGGCCGGGGGGGCGGGCAGGGCCCCGCGCGGCUCCCGGGGCUGCUGCGGACCGGGGCUGGCGGCGAGCGGGACCGCA
rnacentral:lncRNA from 1 species